CCUACGGGAGGCUGCAGUGGGGAAUAUUGCACAAUGGGCGCAAGCCUGAUGCAGCCAUGCCGCGUGUGUGAAGAAGGCCUUCGGGUUGUAAAGCACUUUCAGCGGGGAGGAAGGCGUUAAGGUUAAUAACCUUGGCGAUUGACGUUACCCGCAGAAGAAGCACCGGCUAACUCCGUGCCAGCAGCCGCGGUAAUACGGAGGGUGCAAGCGUUAAUCGGAAUUACUGGGCGUAAAGCGCACGCAGGCGGUCUGUCAAGUCGGAUGUGAAAUCCCCGGGCUCAACCUGGGAACUGCAUUCGAAACUGGCAGGAUAGAGUCUUGUAGAGGGGGGUAGAAUUCCAGGUGUAGCGGUGAAAUGCGUAGAGAUCUGGAGGAAUACCGGUGGCGAAGGCGGCCCCCUGGACAAAGACUGACGCUCAGGUGCGAAAGCGUGGGGAGCAAACAGGAUUAGAUACCCCUGUAGUC
rnacentral:rRNA from 1 species